rnacentral:rRNA from 1 species
UUCCGGUUGAUCCUGCCGGAAGCCACUGCUAUGGGGGUCCGACUAAGCCAUGCGAGUCAUGGGGCGCGCUCUGCGCGCACCGGCGGACGGCUCAGUAACACGUCGGUAACCUACCCUCGGGAGGGGGAUAACCCCGGGAAACUGGGGCUAAUCCCCCAUAGGCCUGAGGUACUGGAAGGUCCUCAGGCCGAAAGGGGCUUUGACCGCCCGAGGAUGGGCCGGCGGCCGAUUAGGUAGUUGGUGGGGUAACGGCCCACCAAGCCGAAGAUCGGUACGGGCCAUGAGAGUGGGAGCCCGGAGAUGGACACUGAGACACGGGUCCAGGCCCUACGGGGCGCAGCAGGCGCGAAACCUCCGCAAUGCGGGAAACCGCGACGGGGGGACCCCCAGUGCCGUGGCAUCGCCACGGCUUUUCCGGAGUGUAAAGAGCUCCGGGAAUAAGGGCUGGGCAAGGCGGUUGGCACCCGCCGCGGUAAUACCGGCGGCCCGAGUGGUGGCCGCUAUUAUUGGGCCUAAAGCGUCCGUAGCCGGGCCUGUAAGUCCCUGGCGAAAUCCCACGGCUCAAUCGUGGGGCUUGCUGGGGAUACUGCAGGCCUUGGGACCGGGAGAGGCGGAGGGUACUCCUGGGGUAGGGGUGAAAUCCUAUAAUCCUAGGAGGACCGCCAGUGGCGAAGGCGCUCCGCUGGAACGGGUCCGACGGUGAGGGACGAAGGCCAGGGGAGCAAACCGGAUUAGAUACCCGGGUAGUCCUGGCUGUAAAGGAUGCGGGCUAGGUGUCGGGUGAGCUUCGUGCUCGCCCGGUGCCGAAGGGAAGCCGUUAAGCCCGCCGCCUGGGGAGUACGGCCGCAAGGCUGAAACUUAAAGGAAUUGGCGGGGGAGCACCACAAGGGGUGGAGCGUGCGGUUUAAUUGGAUUCAACGCCGGAA